ensembl:miRNA gga-mir-132b gga-mir-132b
ACCAUGGCUGUAGACUGUUACCCCCCCAGCAGCACAGUAACAAUCUAAAGCCACGGUCG